UGAAGUCAGCAGUCAGUUGGAGUCACUGGGGCAUGAAUCUCCAGAGAGCGGUGGACACGGAAUGAGCUCGGGCUGAUUUCAGUCAGGAGGAAGGUCGUCACCACACAAAUGAAAAACAUGAGAAGUGGUUCAAGGUCUAAUCAAGUCCUCAGACUGUGCUCACUGGGAGCAAUUAAGUUCCUCCCUCUCGCUCAACAUAGGAGGAAUCAACCUGUCUCUGUUUCUUCUCCGAGCAUCUGGCUUGUACCACACAUCGCUGUUCAAAUGCAAUGCAAUUGUGAUGCUUACCAUGUCAAAUUGAAUAAGGAGUAAAAAAAACAAACAAAAAUUUAAAUGAUA